UGUAGGUUUCUGCCUAAGUUUUAGUUAUCUUGUGUGGUAGAAACAAGGGCUUCCCUCAGGAAAAAAAGUCAUGAAAAAAGCAAGAAGUUCACCAAAUACCAUUCCCUUCUUCCAAGUAUUGACACUCUUCUAGUUUCUGCUUACCUUUGGUCACUCUCCUGUACUUUCUGGUAGUUGUUUGAGAGGAGCUACCCCAUCAUUACCUGAAGCAGAACCAACUGCCUCAUUCUAGAGAGAAGAAAGCUGGAGAGGGUGCUGAGACUUGAUGGGAGGGGGUGUGUGUGCCUGUGUGCAGUGAGAGGAAUAGAUCCAGGCUUCCAGGCUGAGGAUUCCUAUGACAGUUCUACUAAGAGGGUCCUAAGAUCCCUUGGAAACCACAUCUCAGGAUCCAGGCCCCUACUGCAUAGAAGAGGGUCCCUUGGAUGUAGGACAGCCUUUGAGGGGACUUUGAAUGGAGCUGGUUGGCCAUAGCCAACCAAUACGCAGAAGCCAAAGUAAUACUUGCUCAUAUAUUCUUUUGAAGGCACAAUGCUAAAUGGUCCAUGAACAUUACCACACUUAGCCCUCUCACAACACUUUAAAUUAAUCACAAUUAUUAUCCUCAUUUUUCAGAUGAAUGAGUGAGACAUAAAGAGAUCAAGUGGUUUAUCUCUGUCACUCAUUGUGAUUCUUCCAGCGUAUUUCCCAGUGUGUUGGAAGAACUGAAAUCUAGAUUUACCUGACUUUGUGGCUUAUAAGAAUGGGGUAGAUACGAGUUUUACCUCUCCUUCCCUAUAAAAGAAAUAUGGUAGCAUGGCUCAUGGUCGUAUAAAUACAAGCCUUGAAUAUUUACCUUUCCUAUUCUCCUGUCUCCUUGCUAGAGAGGGAAACUAUCCAAGGUCUGAGAGGCCCCCACAUGCCAGGGGGCCAGAAAGGGAGGGAUACGCUGCAGAUGUAGAAGACAUGCUUCUAAGACUCAAGGGAUCUGACUGUUGGUCCCCAUUGUUGCUAACUCCCUGUGUGAUCUUGGGCAAGCUAUUCUUCCUUUCUUUACUUUUGCUUGUUCACCAGAAAGGUCAGGAUAAACCCUGAGGAUCAUUUCUAGAAUGACUUAACAACCUAAUUUUAAGGUUAGUUCUGGUAGCAGGAAGUAGAAAGAAGCCUCUUGACAAAAUUUUGCUUGCAGACCAAGAAUUUAACAGCAUUUUACUAAGUGCAACUAGCUUGUCUGUUAUUUAUGAGGAAUCCCUUAAUGCUGGCUCAAUCACUUUUUUUACUUCUCAGGAACUAAUUUCUAGAAACCGCCGGCACGCCCUCCCCCCCAAAAAUUACCGCCUAGUCAAUUCCAACUCAUAGCAGCCCUAUAGGACAGAGUAGAACUGCCCCAUAGAGUUUCCAAGGGGCUGGUGGAUUUGAACUGCCAAUCUUUGGGUUAGCAGCUGUCGCUCUUAACCACUGUGCCACCAGGGCUCCACUAAUUUCUAUAAAAAAAAAAAAAAAUUUCUAUAGGGCAGGCAAACUCAGGAGUACAUAGUCAUUGAUCUAGGUGGCCUGUGCUCUGAACUGGGCAGUUAACCUUUUCCACCUAUAGAAAAAAUCCACCCUACCGAGCCUGCUGUGUUAGGGGUGGAAGGAAAAGACUGUUUACAUUUCUAACUCAGUUUCCAUGCCUUUGUCUCAGUCACUGUGUUCAGCCCUGGACUAACAGCACAGUGGGUUGGAUGUGGGGCCUUUUCUCCAAGGAAGUCAUCAAUCCUCACAUUUUCAUUAGGUAAAUUAAAGUCCCAACUAAAAUGCCUUGCUGGUGCCAGAAUCUUGUCAGUUUCUGGAAUCUCUAAGACCCACCUCCCCCUUCCCUACCCUACUUUUUUUUUAAUCAUGUUGUAAAAAUCAUCCUAUCUUUUAAAAGCUGGAGUGGGAGGCACAGUGCAAAUUCCAUGUCCAACAGCAGUCUUUAUGAGAAUGACGGCUUGGGCCAUGGCCAGUGCAGAGCCUCACCUUCCUCAUCGCCCAUAAAAUAGCUGUAGUAGGAGGUUAUAAGCAGACACCAUACUUCCCUUUUGACUCACCAUGUAACGUUGGGAAAUGGAUUUAACCUUUCAGUGGUCCAAGUGCCAAUGAUAGAUGCCAAGGAGCUGUCUCCCAUAAUUUUGUGACAAUGACAAAUCUUGAACUAUUAGGAAAACCUUGGAAAAAUGAAGCAACCUUACAUUGGUGACCUGUCUGGCUAGUGCUAAAACUAUGACACUAUUUAAAAGAGCAUUUCCUGGUUUGUCAUAAAUUUAUGUUCUCAAUUUACUCUGAGACCGAACUCUCCAUUUCAUCCUGGGAAUAUCUAAAUCAGAUGUUGGCAUCUUACAGCAUCUAUGACCGAGAUGGCAAGGGCCAGGUUUUCACCCACAGGAGGGCCAGAUGCCACCACCUUUGUUUAUGGCUUCCAUUUGCCUUCUCUCCCUCAUAUUUCUCUUUCUACUGCUUACAAGAACUGGUCUGCAUUUGCUAACGUAGACCUCAGGGGAGAGAGAGUCACCAAACAAGAAGAAAAGCUUUCGAAAUGUUUCCAUUUCUUUACCUAAAGGGGAAAUAUCAAUGCCAUGGAAUGUGGAUCCAGGUUUCCCAAGACUGCUGAAGUAUGCAGAGAUGAAUAAUUAAAUCUCGUCAAACUCUACCAGCAAGAAUUUUCUAGAAGGGCAAGAGGUCAUUGGAUGGCAUUUAACUUCACUGGGCUCACCUGAAAAAUUUCUCAUCUGAAAAUUGAGGCAGUAAGGGUUUCAGGUAGUCCAAGUUUCUUUCCAGUUUCAACAUUCUACAUGCCUGUCCUUGGUUAUUAUUAUUAUUGAAUUCUAUUAUUUUUAGCAAUGGUUGGUAUUACCUAAAAGUAUUCAUUUCAUUACUGUUUUUUUCCUAACUAAAUCUCCAAGACCUCCACCCAGAGCCACACUUUAUAAAGUACUAGGAUUAGUGAAAGCCCAUGACUUUUGUCAUGUUCUAGCUCAGUAAAAGGCAAGAGGAUUUCUUCCUUCUGUGGAGGAUUUCAAGUCUUAUCAUCGACUUGAGUUUUCUUAGAUUUACAUACUAUCUUGGGAGGGUUUUUAUUCCCAGCUAAAAGUGACUCCUCUGUUUCAAAGACCCUCCCAAAUUUUCUAGCCUUAACUUCUUAACAAAGUUCAAUUUUUACAUUUCCAGUUACCCAUAGGGAAUUUUCAUUUGGGAAGAACAAUAAGCAAGCAUUUUUAAGCACCUGUUAUAUAUCCAAUAUUGUAGAUAAUUCAGAAGAAGCAUUAGAUAUAAUCCUUGCUUUUAAGAAGGUUAAAUUGAAAGUGAGGAGGAAAACAAAAACAAAACUAAGAUACAUUCAGCCAGUAAACACCUCUUUAUGCAAAACCCCAUAAAGCUUGAUAUGGGUAGAGUAACCAUAUGUCCCAAUUUGCCAGGAAUAAUCCUAUUUAUACCUAUUGCAUUGGAGUAAUUAUUAAUAUUAAUCCCAAUGACCUUCAAAAGUGGCUUAAUAUGGAUGAUAGCUGUAAGCUUGUCUUAAAGAUGGGUAAUGACAGACUCUUGGUAUUCUCGCCUAUGGGAACCAAAUCAACAGAGAAGAUUACCAUAGCAACUAAGAACCCUGAUGAGAGGUGCUCUGGAAACACAGGAACAGACUUUGUCAGACCCCAGGUAUUUUCCAUGUGGAUGAGGCAAUUCCUUCCAUUUCCUGAAAUAUUCACAUAAGCUAUGCUUUGUGUUGUUGGUUAAUCUAAUGCAAAGGGUUAUUUUCUCCAGGUUAAAAUUCUGAUCAGCAUUUUAUGUCUCUGAGGUGGGCUUAACCUACUACCGAGACAUGUCAAAUCUUUUAACUAUGGGAAAUGGACCAAGAGAAACCUAGUAGUACUCUGUAGAAGCUUAACAAAACAAAAGAGGCCUGAGGUCUCAGUUGGGUUUAACAACUAUUCCAUGCCAGGUACUGAGCCUUUACUUGACAGAGCAGUCUAGGCAAAAGGAAUUGCCUAAGCAAACCCUGUAGGUAAGAAAUAGUAGUCCUGGGAGGUAGAAGGGAAUUCAAUAACUAGAUAGUAGACAAGGAUCCACUUUGGUGAAGGGAAGGACAACACGCCAAUACAGGGGAAGUCAGCAAAACUGGACCAAAGCAAAAGCUAAGAAGUUUCCUGGAUACACCCAAACACUUUGAGGGACAGAGUAGCUGGAGCUGGGGCCUGGGGACCAUAGUUUUGGGAGAUGUCUAGGUCAGUUAGCAUAACAAAGCUUAUUAAGAAAGUGUUCUGCAUCCCACUUUGGUGAGUGGAGUCUGGGGUCUUAAAAGCUUGUGAGAGGCCAUCUAAGACACAUCAAUUGGUCCCAUUCCACUUGGAGCAGAGGAGAACGAAGAAAACCAAAGGCACAAGGAAAAUAUUAGCCUAAAAGACUAAAGGACCACAUAAACCAGAGACUCUGCCAGCCUGAGACCAGAAGAACUAGGUGGUGCCUGGCUACCACCAAUGACUGCCCUGACAGUGGACACAAUGGAGAGUGCCAGACAGAGCACGAGAAAGGUGUGGAGCAGAACUGAAAUUCACAUAAAAAGACCAGACUCAAUGUUCUGACAGAUACUGGAGGAACCCCCAAACAAUGGCCCCCAGAUGCUCUGUUAACCCAGAACUGAAGCCAUUCCUGAAGGCCACUCUUCAGACAAAGAUUAGACCAGACUAUAAAACAAAAAAUAUGCAUGUGAGGAAUGUGCUUCUUGGUUCAAUCAGAUAUGCGAGACCAAAUAGGAGACUGCUGUCCAGAGGCAGGAGGAGAAGGCAGGAAGGGACAGGAACUGGUUGAACGGACACAGGGAACCUGGGGCUGAAGGUUCGAGUCCACUCAGAGGCACCUUGGAAGAAAGCCUUGGUGAUCUACUUCCAAAAAAUCAGCCAUCGAAAACUGUGUGGAGCGCAAUUCUACUCCGAGACACAUGCGGUUGCCAUGAGUCGGAAUCGACUCGACAGCGACUGGUUUACCGUGUGUGAGAGGCCUGCUGAGCAACAUGGUAUUGGUGAGAGUCAAUGGGUUGUGAGUCCGUGGGUGACAGGGGCUGCGGCCUAUGGAGACGGGCAGAGGCCAGAUGGUGGAGCAUCUUGCAUGCUUCAUCAAGAAGCUUAGUCUUUACUAAAUUUGGAAAUGAAAUGGCACCUGAGAUACCACUUUAUCUCUACAACUCUGAAUACCCUGAUAGCCACCAGACUCACAGCAACGCAAUCUGCUUCUCGGAGUCGCUGCUGAUCUCUGAAGACCUCUCCACCCACUCCAGGAGUCGGUCCAGAGGUGCACCAUUCCCAUGACUGCAGACUCAGUAAUGCUGAUGAGACGGUUUCUGGAGACACAGAACAAACAAUGUUAGCUGCAAGGGGACAGCCAGCCCUGGCCAGACGUUCUCAUGUUUGCUCUCACCUCCAGGUGCUACAAAGGAGCUGGUGCAGCAAGGACAAUUGAUUUAUUUGGGUCAACAUUGGGGUAUUUAUGUUCUUCCUGAAUGUGCAGCGGUUGCUGGCGACGCUCGGCUGGCACUAAAGAUCCUGCUCGGGUUCUUUGAUCAGUCUUCCUGCUGGUGGACUCGGAUGGUCCAAGAGGCCAUGUGACACAGCUUGGGGGUGGCGCGCAGAACUACAAUGUACAAAGAAGUUGAUCUUAUUUGCCCUGACAGUGCUAGUUCUUGGCAACAGCAGCAGAGCAGUAUGGGCUGGAGGAUAAACGCAGGAAGUAAAAAACAAAAGCUCACACCAGAUGAAAUGAAGGACUAGGAUCCACCAAAAAGGUAAAAUGUAAAACUAGUAGGGAGAACUACCUCCGAUCAUCUGAUAAGCCCAUGAAAAAGAAGAAUUAUUAAGAAAUAGAUGAUCAAGACCUUUUAAAAUCAAGGGCAGAGAUUGUUUUCCAGUUUGCUAGACACAAGUACUAAACAUGGUAUCUGCAAAAAGAAAUCUUUUUUUUAGGCCCCUGCAGUUCUGCUCCGUCCUAUAGAGUCACUAUGAGUCGGAAUUGACUCAAUGGCAACGGGUUUGGCUUUUUUGUUGUUGUUAUUAGGUGUUGUCAAGUUGGUUCCGACUCUUAGCGGCCCUAUAUACAACAGAAUGAAACACUGUUUCAUUUUUGAGGCAAAAGAGAGAUUUUUCUUACAGAUACAUGAGAAUUUGUCUUCUUCGCUAAUUCUCUUAAAGGUAUUUUUUCUUUUUUUUGGAGAGAAAAAAACAAUAAAAACAUGUAUUCACUCUAAUCUUAUGAAAAAUUUUCUAUACAACAAUUACCCUGUAUGCAAAAUUCAAGGAAAGAGAAGAGGCUCAAAUGAAUAAAGCUGAUAUAAACAUUGACAUGGAAGUUUUUGUGUGAAUAUACUUUUCAAACAAUUGGGUAAAUACCUUAGAGCACAACUGGUAGACCCCGUGGUCAGCCUAUGUUUAUCUUCACAAGAUUGUCACACUGUCUUCAACGUGCGUUCUCACCAGUAAUGAAUGAGAAUUCCUAUUGCUCCCAAAGAUAUUUCUUAAAUUAUUGUUUUUCUUCUCCAC